UACAGAGGGGGCGAGCGUUGUUCGGAAUUACUGGGCGUAAAGGGCGCGUAGGCGGCCUGCUAAGUCGAACGUGGAAUCCCCGGGCUCAACCCGGGAACUGCGUCCGAUACUGGUGGGCUUGAAUCCGGGAGAGGGAUGUGGAAUUCCAGGUGUAGCGGUGAAAUGCGUAGAUAUCUGGAGGAACACCGGUGGCGAAGGCGGCAUCCUGGACCGGCAUUGACGCUGAGGCGCGAAAGCUAGGGGAGCAAACGGG
rnacentral:rRNA from 1 species